UUACAGCCAUAGCAUUUUGAAUCACCGGUUCCCGUAGGAUCACCGAAGUUAAGCAACGUUGAGCCUGAUCAGUACCUAGAAGGGCGACUGCUUGGGAAUAACAAGUGCUGUAAG